CACUGCUGAAGACCUGGACCGGGAGA
rnacentral:piRNA from 1 species